GAUGAACGCUGGCGGCGUGCUUAACACAUGCAAGUCGAACGAAGCACUUUAUUUGAUUUCCUUCGGGACUGAUUAUUUUGUGACUGAGUGGCGGACGGGUGAGUAACGCGUGGGUAACCUGCCUUGUACAGGGGGAUAACAGUUGGAAACGGCUGCUAAUACCGCAUAAGCGCACGACAUCGCAUGAUGCAGUGUGAAAAACUCCGGUGGUAUAAGAUGGACCCGCGUUGGAUUAGCUAGUUGGUGAGGUAACGGCCCACCAAGGCGACGAUCCAUAGCCGACCUGAGAGGGUGACCGGCCACAUUGGGACUGAGACACGGCCCAAACUCCUACGGGAGGCAGCAGUGGGGAAUAUUGCACAAUGGGCGAAAGCCUGAUGCAGCGACGCCGCGUGAGCGAAGAAGUAUUUCGGUAUGUAAAGCUCUAUCAGCAGGGAAGAUAAUGACGGU
rnacentral:rRNA from 1 species